CCUUCUUCCCUUUUGCUGAGCUGGUGCGUGCACUACAGUGGUCUGGCGGUUGGCCAUGAUACAUCAAGCAAGUUCUUCCCUCGCUGGUAACUACAAAACUGCAGACAGAGACCUGAUGCCACUUGCUAAGGUUUUAAUGGAGGAAGUUGGAAGCCCCAUAGAAGGAAGAUUCUCCGGCCUGGAAGAUGAAUCCUGAUGAUGAAAGGCUGUGUUAAAUAGAUUGGCUUCGGAUGACCACCUGCCUGAUGUAUGGAGAUAAAAAUUCCAAUUUGAACACAGUUCCAUAAUGUUUGCAGGGAGAGUAAAGCACAGGACACUUCAUACAAAGGCUUCCAGAGGGUGCUUGGGUAUCCUGACUGGGGUGACUUGGAUGUACAGAGUGCUGUUAUUAGCAGUGGUCCUGGCCCUGUCUUGAAUAAAUUUGGCAUUAAUAUUAGAAGAUGAUGGAUGAUCAGGACAGCAUUUCAAGUGAGAGGGCUGGAGCGCACUCCUGGAAAAAGGAUCACUUUGCUGAGAGUAAAGUUGGUCAAACAUUCAGUGAAGCAAUCAGCCCUCUGCCUGCCUGAGAGGGAGCAAAAUUGGUUUGAAUGGACAGUUGAGGAACCAGAAAGUGUGAAGAUGUCAGAUUGUGUAUCUAGCGACUCCUAAGUUUUUCCCACAGAAGACAGUGCCCUUGCUUCUGAGGUGUUUGGGCAUAGCCAUGGAGGGGCCAGAGUCAAUCCUGCAGCAGUGGGUGUGUCAAGCUGGAGGGAAGCAGUCUCUCUGCCACCCCAUUGCCACAAUAAGGUGACAUGACUUCUGGAUGAAGAGUCCUACAAAUUUGUGCAGAAAAGAUUAAGUUCAGAAUGUCUUGUAGAAGCAUGUGACAAGUGGGGCAACACUGAUACACACUUUGGUCUCUUCUUAAAUAUCCAAUUAAGAAACUAGACUUGCUCUGAACUUAAACUUUUGCCAUGUGUGUCUUUUAACCAGCACUAAGUAGACUUUAGAAGUAAAAUAACAGCUGUCUAACAAAUUGAAAUGUGCUAAAAUAAACUCAUCAAAAAUGA